AUGCGUGCUAAAAAAGAUUGCUUUGUAAAAGUGUGUUCUUCUAAUUUUCAUGAUAAUAAAUAUGAAGAUCUAAAAGUGAUUGAUGUGACUCCUAUUAAAUAUUUGUUUUCCAAUAUGAAUCUUGAUAAAGAUGGGACUGGAGAUGAGUCAACUUUAGUUAAAAGGCGUCCCAAUGAUUCGGAGUUUUUAGAUCUUGAUGCUAAAAUUAAUAAAAGUGGGAUUGAAGAGGUCAAAACUUUACAUAGCAAUGAACCCACUAUUUUGGAUCUCAAGGAAUUUAAUUAUGAUAAUUUCUCUUUGAUAGAUUGUAUUUCCUUGUUGCCAUCCGUGUUAAAUUCUCCUCAUGCUUAUAGUCAAAAUAAAGCUUUCACUAAACAUAUCGUUGAUGCCUUAAUGCAAUCUUAUGAAGAAAAGCUUGAACUAGAAGUUUCUAUUCCUAGAAAACUUUAUGAUGAGUGGGAACCUACUAUUAAGAUUAACAUUAAAGAUUAUGAAUGCUAUGCUUUGUGUGAUUUGGGUGCUAGUGUUUCCACGAUUCCAAAAACUUUGUGUGAUGUGUUAGGUUUCCGUGAAUUUGAUGAUUGUUCUUUAAACUUGCACCUUGCGGAUUCCACCAUUAAGAAACCUAUGGGAAGGAUUAAUGAUGUUCUUAUUGUUGCAAAUAGGAAUUAUGUGCCCAUAGAUUUCAUUGUUCUUGAUAUAGAAUGCAAUCCUACAUGUCCUAUUAUUCUUGGUAGACCUUUCAAUAGAACGAUUGGUGCAAUAAUUGAUAUGAAGGAAGGAAAUAUAAGAUUCCAAUUUCCAUUAAGGAAAGGCAUCAAACAAUUUCUCAGGAAUAAAAUUAAAUUACCUUAUGAAUCUAUUAUGAGAUCCACUUAUGGAUUGCCUACCAAAGAUGGUAAUACCUAG
rnacentral:rRNA from 1 species